rnacentral:lncRNA from 12 species
GAUUAGUCCGUGGGAGGAAAGUGGUUCCCCCAGACUACAGAGCAAGUUAGAUUUUUUUUUUAAAAAUCUAUUUUAUUUUACUUAUUUGUUGUUUGGUCUAAGGUCACACCCGUGCAGCCAGAGGCGGAGCUGGAUGCGGAUUGUAACCCUCGCACCUGUAGGGCUGCCCUCGUCCCCGAUAGUCCUGGGCCCGACCCCGGGGGCAAAGAGACCAAGGCAGAGUCGGGUGGAAGGUUUUCUGAGCGAUGGGAGGGCCGAGGGGACGGACACGGAAAGGAAGGACUUUGUAAAUGAGGGUGGUUCUCGUGCUGGACGGGAUCCAUCCUCCCGGGCCCCAGGUUGCAUGGUGCAGACGAGACAGAGGCUGGCACAGCACGGGCAGCAAAGGGCCCACCAGCUGAGGACUGAGAAAACCCCACUGCUCGCUCUGAAGUCGCAGCUCCAGCUCUCCAGGAACUUCAUUUGCGAGGUGACUGUCACCAGGGUCACUCCAGGCGGCUUGGCUGGGAGACAGGAGGAUGCAUGUGGGAAAAUCCUACAGCCCUGCAGGUGGGUGAGCCGGGCUCCCAGACGGUGGUGCAGAAAGAUGCUGAUGGCCUGGGCAACAGGCUGGAAGUGUGACUUCAUGUCCUGGGCACUGAGGUGUGACCUGAUGUGUGUCACUUGCGUUGACUGCAUGCACGGUGGCCCUUCCUUCCUGCAGGAUUCUAGGCGGAGUCAAAUGUGCUGAUCUGGUGGAGGAGACAAGCGCCACCUGCUGGCUUCCUCCUCCCCCCAAACCUCCUCUCUCACCAACCUCUAUUAUCCCCUCAACCUCCCAGACGUUUAAAAACCGGGCUUGAUAUGCUAUAUGUUGGCAAAUUGAACUCCAAUUAAAAAAAGAAAAAUAGAUUGUCAUUGUGUUUCAGACAAUCGUUUGACACAGCUCCACGCCUAAGCUAGUCUCAUUCUCAUUGCUAUCCUUUGUUCCAUAAGCUCUUAGCUUCUUUUAAAACUAAUGUUUCUGUAUUAUGCACACAGAAAUACUCAUACAGUUUUAUACAAAUUCAUGCACAGAAUCUUAUGCACAUUGUAAAUGGUCUUAGUGCUUGCAGGCAGUCUAUUUUUUAUAGCUUGUAAAAAUAAAUAAAUAAUAAAAUAAAUAAUAAAAACCA